CCGGUAAACGGCGGCCGUAACUAUAACGGUCCUAAGGUAGCGAAAUUCCUUGUCGGGUAAGUUCCGACCUGCACGAAUGGCGUAAUGAUGGCCAGGCUGUCUCCACCCGAGACUCAGUGAAAUUGAACUCGCUGUGAAGAUGCAGUGUACCCGCGGCAAGACGGAAAGACCCCGUGAACCUUUACUAUAGCUUGACACUGAACAUUGAGCCUUGAUGUGUAGGAUAGGUGGGAGGCUUUGAAGUGUGGACGCCAGUCUGCAUGGAGCCGACCUUGAAAUACCACCCUUUA
rnacentral:rRNA from 1 species